rnacentral:rRNA from 1 species
GGAAUCUUCCACAAUGGGCGCAAGCCUGAUGGAGCAACACCGCGUGAGUGAAGAAGGGUUUCGGAUCGUAAAGCUCUGUUGUUAGAGAAGAACGUGCGUGAGAGCAAUUGUUCACGCAGUGACGGUAUCUAACCAGAAAGUCACGGCUAACUACGUGCCAGCAGCCGCGGUAAUACGUAGGUCCCGAGCGUUGUCCGGAUUUAUUGGGCGUAAAGCGAGCGCAGGCGGUUUAAUAAGUCUGAAGUUAAAGGCAGUGGCUUAACCAUUGUUCGCUUUGGAAACUGUUAGACUUGAGUGCAGAAGGGGAGAGUGGAAUUCCAUGUGUAGCGGUGAAAUGCGUAGAUAUAUGGAGGAACACCGGUGGCGAAAGCGGCUCUCUGGUCUGUAACUGACGCUGAGGCUCGAAAGCAUGGGUAGCGAACA